rnacentral:rRNA from 1 species
UACGGAGGGUGCAAGCGUUAAUCGGAAUUACUGGGCGUAAAGCGCGCGUAGGCGGCUGGGUAAGUCGAUUGUGAAAGCCCCGGGCUCAACCUGGGAAUUGCAGUCGAGACUGUUCGGCUAGAGUGUGGGAGAGGGCAGUGGAAUUCCCGGUGUAGCGGUGAAAUGCGUAGAUAUCGGGAGGAACAUCAGUGGCGAAGGCGACUGCCUGGCCCAACACUGACGCUGAGGUGCGAAAGCGUGGGUAGCAAACAGG